UACAGAGGGUGCGAGCGUUGUCCGGAAUCACUGGGCGUAAAGGGCGCGUAGGUGGUGGCUUAAGCGUGCGGUGAAAGCUCGGAGCUCAACUCCGAGUCGGCCGUGCGAACUGGGCUCACUGGAGCAUAGUAGAGGCAGGUGGAAUUCCGGGUGUAGCGGUGGAAUGCGUAGAGAUCCGGAGGAACACCAAUGGCGAAGGCAGCUCGCUGGGACGUGACUGACGCUGAGACGCGAAAGCGUGGGGAGCAAACAGG
rnacentral:rRNA from 1 species